rnacentral:rRNA from 1 species
UCGGUUGAUCCUGCCGGACCUGACUGCUAUCGGAUUGAUACUAAGCCAUGCGAGUCAUUGUAGCAAUACAAGGCAGACGGCUCAGUAACGCGUAGUCAACCUAACCUAUGGACGGGAAUAACCUCGGGAAACUGAGAAUAAUGCCCGAUAGAACACUAUGCCUGGAAUGGUUUGUGUUCCAAAUGAUUUAUCGCCGUAGGAUGGGACUGCGGCCUAUCAGUUUGUUGGUGAGGUAAUGGCCCACCAAGACUAUUACAGGUACGGGCUCUGAGAGGAGUAGCCCGGAGAUGGGUACUGAGACACGGACCCAGGCCCUAUGGGGCGCAGCAGGCGAGAAAACUUUGCAAUGUGCGAAAGCACGACAAGGUUAAUCCGAGUGGUUUCUGCUAAAGGAACCUUUUGUCGGUCCUAGAAACACCGAUGAAUAAGGGGUGGGCAAGUUCUGGUGUCAGCCGCCGCGGUAAAACCAGCACCUCAAGUGGUCAGGAUGAUUAUUGGGCCUAAAGCAUCCGUAGCCGGCGCUAUAAGUUUUCGGUUAAAUCUGUACGCUCAACGUACAGGCUGCCGGGAAUACUGUAGCGCUAGGGAGUGGGAGAGGUAGACGGUACUCGGUAGGAAGGGGUAAAAUCCUUUGAUCUAUUGAUGACCCCUGUGGCGAANGCGGUCUACCAGAACACGUCCGACGGUGAGGGAUGAAAGCUGGGGGAGCAACCGGAUUAGAUACCCGGGUAGUCCCAGCUGUAAACUAUGCAAACUCAGUGAUGCAUUGGCUUGUGGCCNAUGCAGUGCUGCAGGGANNCCNUUAAGUUUGCCGCCNGGGAAGUANC